CCCCACGCGUGUGUGACCCGCCUUGUGACAUGGGGGGCGCCCACUUUGCAGGCUUUUCCCCAAAGUGACACACACAUAGGAAAACAGCACAAGCAUCAGAACCAAUCAAGGUAGUUGACACUUGAGUGGAUCCCGGUUUGGGGACUGCGGCCCCGGCACGGUGUGGGGACCCCAGAGUUCCCGGUCGCUGCGGACGGCCCUGCGUCUGGGAGGGAGGAGGUGCGUGCGUCCGGCUCCGGGGCUCAGGUGGUUCGGGCUUGAGGACACGAGAAGUGGCGCCACUAAUUCUGGAAUGCUUAAAACUUAACUUCAUAGGGGAAGAAAGGGAUUCACAGAUUUACGUUUCCCUUAGAAAGGUUUUUCUUAAGCUGUUUUCCAGAAGCAAAUUCUUGGAUCAGAAAGUUGGAAUGGACUGACCAGGAGCUUGAACUCCCGAGUUUGGGCCCCGAGGCCGGCUGUGGUGGCACAGCUUAGAGUUUGGGAAUGGAGCGUUCGAGGCCAUUUUGGAAAAGGAGCUUCCUGGCUGCAUGUGAACAGGGACACGGUCCCAACCAGACAGCGGAUGGCCCGGGACCUGUUCGUCCAUGCCACCAUCGGAAGACCGUCGGAACCUGCAACACCCUGGGAACCACACACCCCAGCGUUAAACAGCUGUGACCCAGGCCCGGGGCAGGGACGCAGGUCGACGCCACUUAUUGAUCUGACAUGAGGCUCUCUUGCCAAGCAGAAUCUCAGGUGGGUUUGGAUUGUUCUAGUUCCUCGAGCUGGAGGCCACAGGCCCAGCACCCUUUCCAGAGAGGAGGCAUUUUUGACCUUCCACAGACAGGCCUGGGCCCGGAUGCCACCCUUUAUGGGCUCACGUUCCCAGAAGGUCCCUCCCCUAGGGGCCCUUCCCCUAGGCCGGGAAGUGGGGCUGGGCAUCCAGAGCGGUCACCCCUCCGCAGAGGGAGCGAGGCCAGCCAGUAACGGGACGGCAGGAGGCAGAGACAAAGACCCCGGAGCUCCGGCCUGCAUCUGUCGGGACCGCGGG